AGGCUGGUAGCUCAGGUGGUUAGAGCGCACCCCUGAUAAGGGUGAGGUCGGUGGUUCAAGUCCACUCAGGCCUACCA
rnacentral:tRNA from 1 species